GACGAACGCUGGCGGCGUGCUUAACACAUGCAAGUCGAGCGGUAAGGCCCUUUCGGGGGUACACGAGCGGCGAACGGGUGAGUAACACGUGGGUGACCUGCCCUCAGCUCUGGGAUAAGCCCGGGAAACUGGGUCUAAUACUGGAUAUGACUCCAUGACGCAUGUUGUGGGGUGGAAAGCCUUGUGCGGCUGAGGAUGGGCCCGCGGCCUAUCAGCUUGUUGGUGGGG
rnacentral:rRNA from 1 species